rnacentral:lncRNA from 1 species
UCUGACAAUUUUAAAAAAACAUGGCUGGCGCUAAAAGAGCUCCAUGAUAAAGAGCUGCGGCGUCUACAGGCAAAAUUAACAAGUCUGAGGAAACAGCGAUUGUCAGACGGGAGGCGGACGGGCUCCACAGCCAAAAUUAAAGAGUUGACUAAACAGCAGAGAGUCCUGCAGAGCACCAUUAAUGACUUGAAAGAUCAGUUAAAGGCAAAAACCUGUGACUGCUGUUCAAUGACAGAAACAUACAGGCUUGCGCUAGAGAAAGACUAUUAUGAAAUCCAACAACAAAAUCUUUUCUUUAUUGCGGAACUCACUAAAGAAACAAAUAAAUUACGAGAAGAAAAUAAAAGGCUUUCUAAAAUAAUAAUGAGGCAACAACAAUUUCAGACUUCUGGUAGUGAUGACUUCGUUUCUGGUAGUCAAAUGACUAUGUCAGAUUUUUCAGUCAGGGAGCCUGCACAAGGAAGGCAGAGGCAUGUGCCUAUCAAAUCGAUAAGCCAGUCACAAAGUAAGCAGAUGAAACCUACGAGCACAAAGGAACUGCAACAAAGUUCAGAGUUUCCAGCUCCAUCUUUUAGUCAAGGCCUCUUUGAAGUGCCAGAGACCUCUUUUGCGAAAAGUUCCUCUAAUGACACUAAGCCUAACAUAGAAGACCCUGCCAGCCAGAAGCCACUGGCAAGUUCUCUUUUAACAACUUCACUUAGUCCUCAAAAGAGGUAUGAAUUUCAAGAUUUUUUCAAUCUUCAUGAAGACAAGAUUGGCCAGCCAAAAGGGACACUUGAAACAAAGGUCUCCCCGCAAAAAGAAACUCAGAUUGGCACAUCAUGGAACCCUUCCGCUAUCUCCCCAGGAGAAUACCCAACUCAUGUAUCUGAAAGUUUACUGGAAACUUUAGAGGAUUAUUCUAUAACCUCAUAUAGCCCUCUUGCAAAGGAAAAGAAAAUAAUCCCUUUGAAUGUCUUGCCUUUAGACUCUACUUUAAAAUCUAGUACAAAAAGAAGAGCAGUGGUUGCUAUUCCUUCUAACACCAAAUUUGCAGUGAGAGAUAGCUCUAACCAGAUACCUUCCAAUGAACAGUCUGCUUCGGAGAAUAUUAAUGAAUCUACAAGUGCAGGGUAUGGUGCCGAUAAGCCUCAAUGUGAUACUGAGAGUGUCUUUUUGGAGUCUGGGCUAAAGAGAAAAGUGAAGACACAGUCACAAAGAAAGAGGAAGUAGCUUCCCCAUCCCCCCCACCCCCCUCACCCCCCCCCCCACCGCCCCCCACCACCUUCUCUCUUAAGGAAGCAACAAUGUUUUACUUUUCCAACAGAACAGUCUUCUUGUCAAUUCAGACUUCGUAACUGGUAACUCCUGACUCUUAUUCCUUUUCUCACGAUAUAAUAAACUAAGCAGUAAGGCCUGAAAAUGUUUGGCAAAUGAAUCUAAGACUUUGAAAUAGCAAAUUUUUGUCAAUUAAUAAAAUGCAGCUAUAAGUAGAGAAUGAAAUUUAUUCUCCAGAAUCCAUAUAAAAGUGUAGAGAUAGAACAUCUUUUCAUUGACAUUAAAGUUGCUACUGUUUAUGACUCAAUAAAAAAGAAAGCCAAGAGAGGACCUCAAGAUUGUGGACUUGAAAGAGAUAAAUAUUUAAAUGCAUAUAGAGUAACUAAAACAAUAUUUACCGGACAAGACAAAGUAAUUAGAAUACAUCCAUUGAGAAGGAUCUAGAAGACAUUUCUUAGAACAAAAUGAAUAUGACUUUACAGAUAUACAGCAUGACUUUAUACAUAUAAAAGAUAAACAGAUGUGACAUAGACUGUAUACUAGUUAUUGAAAAUGUGCUUUUUAAAAUCAAAAAGCAAGAGCAGAAG